rnacentral:rRNA from 1 species
GUGGGGAAUCUUGCGCAAUGGGCGAAAGCCUGACGCAGCCAUGCCGCGUGAAUGAUGAAGGUCUUAGGAUUGUAAAAUUCUUUCACCGGGGACGAUAAUGACGGUACCCGGAGAAGAAGCUCCGGCUAACUUCGUGCCAGCAGCCGCGGUAAUACGAAGGGGGCUAGCGUUGCUCGGAAUUACUGGGCGUAAAGGGCGCGUAGGCGGACAGCUUAGUCAGACGUGAAAGCCCAGGGCUCAACCUUGGAAUUGCCUUUGAUACUGGCUGUCUUGAGUUUGGGAGAGGUGCGUGGAACUCCGAGUGUAGAGGUGAAAUUCGUAGAUAUUCGGAAGAACACCAGUGGCGAAGGCGACUCACUGGCCCAAUACUGACGCUGAGGCGCGAAAGCGUGGGGAGCAAACAGGAUUAGAAACCCUGGUAGUCC